AACAAACGCUGGCGGCGUGUCUUAAGCAUGCAAGUUGAGCGGCAAGGAGGAGCAAUCCCCCCUAGAGCGGCGGACUGGUGAGUAACACGUGGAUGAUCUACCCGAGGCAUGGGGAUAGUCACUAGAAAUAGUGGGUAAUACCGAAUACGGUGCGCAUCGUGAGGGUGCGCAAGAAAGGUGCUACGGCACCGGCCUAGGAUGAGUCUGCGUCCCAUUAGCUGGUUGGUGAGGUAAGAGCCCACCAAGGCGAUGAUGGGUAGCCGACCUGAGAGGGUGGCCGGCCACACUGGAACUGAGAUACGGUCCAGACUCCUACGGGAGGCAGCAGUGGGGAAUAUUGGGCAAUGGGCGCAAGCCUGACCCAGCGACGCCGCGUGGGGGAAGAAG
rnacentral:rRNA from 1 species